GACGAACGCUGGCGGCGUGCUUAACACAUGCAAGUCGAACGAGGUUCAACCGGUGGCAACACCGGGGACGGCCUAGUGGCGAACGGGUGAGUAUCACGUGAGGAACCUGCCCCGAAGACCGGGAUAACCCUCCGAAAGGAGAGCUAAUACCGGAUGCCCUCACCGGGCCGCAUGAUCUGGUGAGGAAAUGGAUUCCGCUUCGGGAGGGCCUCGCGGCCUAUCAGCUUGUUGGUGGGGUAACGGCCCACCAAGGCUUCGACGGGUAGCUGGUCUGAGAGGACGAUCAGCCACACUGGGACUGAGACACGGCCCAGACUCCUACGGGAGGCAGCAGUGGGGAAUCUUGCCCAAUGGGCGAAAGCCUGAGGCAGCAACGCCGCGUGGGGAUGAAGGUCUUCGGAUUGUAAACCCCUUUCGGGAGGGAAGAUGGAAUGGGGUAACCCAUUCGGACGGUACCUCCAGAAGCAGCCACGGCUAACUUCGUCGCCAGCAGCCGCU
rnacentral:rRNA from 1 species